AGAUUGAACGCUGGCGGAAUGCUUUACACAUGCAAGUCGAGCGGCAGCGCGGGGCAACCUGGCGGCGAGCGGCGAACGGGUGAGUAACACAUCGGAACAUGUCCAUUCGUGGGGGGAUAGCCCGGGCGAAAAGCCGGAUUAAUACCGCAUACGCCCUACGGGGGAAAGCGGGGGACUUCGCAAGAGGCCUCGCGCGAAUGGGUUGGCCGAUGUCCGAUUAGCUAGUUGGUGGGUAAAGGCUUACCAAGGCGAUGAUCGGUAGCUGGUCUGAGAGGAUGGAUCAGCCACGACUGGGACUGAGACACGGCCCAGACUCCUACGGGAGGCAGCGAGUGGGAAUUUUGGACAAGU
rnacentral:rRNA from 1 species